GUCGAGCGGCAGCACAGAGGAACUUGUUCCUUGGGUGGCGAGCGGCGGACGGGUGAGUAAUGCCUGGGAAAUUGCCCGGUAGAGGGGGAUAACCAUUGGAAACGAUGGCUAAUACCGCAUAACCUCGUAAGAGCAAAGCAGGGGACCUUCGGGCCUUGCGCUACCGGAUAUGCCCAGGUGGGAUUAGCUAGUUGGUGAGGUAAGGGCUCACCAAGGCGACGAUCCCUAGCUGGUCUGAGAGGAUGAUCAGCCACACUGGAACUGAGACACGGUCCAGACUCCUACGGGAGGCAGCAGUGGGGAAUAUUGCACAAUGGGCGCAAGCCUGAUGCAGCCAUGCCGCGUGUAUGAAGAAGGCCUUCGGGUUGUAAAGUACUUUCAGUAGGGAGGAAGAUGGUUAAGUUAAUACCUUAAUCAUUUGACGUUACCUACAGAAG
rnacentral:rRNA from 1 species